CGGUGUAUCAUAUUUACUACUGAAGGAGACAGGCCAACAAAGUAACAUCAGCAAACUGUUUUCUCUUAUUUAGCCAUUUCACCAGGUUUCAUGUGUGUUUGACUGUCAUAAGGCCAAAUCACACCACCCAGACAAAUGCCAUCAAACACCAACAGACAAGUUGGCAGUUGGGUAUAGAAUUUUAUGAAAAAUAACUGUUGUGUUCACAUUGCCCCGACCGACAACAUGAUUGACAUCGAGACCGGCGGCUUUAAUAGCCUAUAUCUACUGUAUUGCAUUGCAAGGAUCUAAAAUGUUACGCAUCACAUAUUUUUCCCCAACAGUUAAUCCAACAUCCACUUAAGACACAGGUUAACAUAUUAUGUCGAUGUGAAAUCUUGUUGAAACAGGUGUUUUUAAAUACUGUAAUUUUGUGUAUACACAGAAAAAAAGGUGCUUUUUUCCCACUGCUAUACAAAGAACCUGUUAAACCCCUAUAUGUUUUUUUUAAGGAUCUCUAACUCUCUCUUAAUCUCUUUAGUUGUGGAAAGGAUUAAAAACAACAUUAACAUAUAGUGUAUUUCCUGAAUAUCGUUUUACCCUCAUAAGGAAAUAUUCCCCACACAAGACUUUUUGACCUCAGAAGAGCAUAAAAGUGAUUUAAGACAUUUUGCCAUUGCAGUAAAUAGCAAACAUAUGGAGUAAGAUCUAAAAUAUAAGGAGGAGAAUAGGGUGGUGGUGGGAAGCAACAAGACAGUUUGGAUACUGAGAGCUAUCAGUUGCAUCUUAAAUUGUGUGGAAGGAGGAUGAGAGGAAGCUAAAACAUGGUGAUCGGCUGUUGUCAAAUAAAUGUAAACUGAUAAAAGACUUGUGCAAAGUCAGUUGUACCGAAAUUAUAUCACAAACUUCAAUAAAAAGGCAAUACAUUAACUCAUAUAUUAACUUUGCUUUGUUUUAUUAAUGUAAUCAAAUAUUUGACUAUAUAUUAAUGUUUUAUGAUUUAGUUGGAAGUUUAUUCCACUUUAUCACAUUGUAUUAAAUUACAUUUUACUUAUACAGCGCCAGUUUAUAACAAAGUUACACAAUAAACCCACGUAUCUGACAAAGACCAAUUCCCACCAUGAACAAAGCCUAAUAGCCUUAAAACGUGAGCUGGUCAGCUGGACCUGCCUGGAACUUACUUUAGACCAGAGCAUUUGGACCCUACGCGCCUAUCAGUGUGCAGCAGGUGCACGCUAUCAAUGCGCGAGCGUCCAGUCUCCUCUCCCUGAGGAGAAAACUUCGUCGUCGUUGGACCCGUCAACAAAACCAGGACUGAACUAGAUUCAGAGGGAGAAAGAGCCAAAUAUCUUUCGAGGUUGAUGCCGGAGAAGAUGCAAGUAGCAUCAGGGAACAUCUGCGAGCAUAUAGGCGUAGCCAGAACUUUUUUUAGAGGUGGCCAGGUUCACAGAAUCUGUGAUUGGAUCGUGUUCCCGUCAAUCAUCAAUCCACCCUCGCCAAUCAGAUGUGGGAGGCCUUGAUAAAAGCCGGAGGUGACGCGCUUCGAGAGGAAAAGGGAGGAGGAGAGGGAGCUUUGUUUUCCGUUCUCAUUGUUUGUUUAUAUGUUAGGUUGGCUUUGCUCUUGCUUUCGUUAAUUUUUGUAGAUUGAGUUAUUGUGUGUUUAAAUAUAACAUGCUUCUCGGUUGGUCCGAGUUUUGAUUCACUUGUUCGAACAUAUAGAGAUGGGACCAGUUCAGCAUGUCACGUGACUUACACCAGACUACACGCAGGGUAAAAACUGUUUAAACACACUAGUUUACGAGCGGGUGCCAACUUUUGUAUUUAUGUUUUGGAUAGCUAGAGUAGGUAGUGGCGUUCUACGCCGAAAAUGUUUUUUUUUUAUUUCUUAUAUUUAUAAUUGAGUGGGUGUUAGUUAUUGUGUUUUGUUUUGUUUUGUUUUGUUUUGUUUUAUUUCUUUCUUUCCUUAAGCACCGCUCUUGGUUCUCACUUGUGUUUGGGUUGUUGGAUGUUAUUAUAUCUGUCGCAUUAACUUAUUUGCUCCACUAAAAGCAAGGUUAAAAUUUAUGCUUGUCUCUGCUUGAUUUAUUGAAUGACAUUCACCACACUUGAAAUAUUGAUAAAAGUAUCCAUUUUAAGUACAUUCAUCAGUCGAAUGUAUUUUUUUUUUUUUUUCUUAUUUGUUA